UACGGAGGGUGCUAGCGUUAUUCGGAAUUAUUGGGCGUAAAGGGCGCGUAGGCGGUCGGUUAAGUCGGAUGUGAAAGCCCUCGGCUUAACCGAGGAAGUGCCUUUGAUACUAAGUGCCUUGAGUAUGGGAGAGGGAAGCGGAAUUCCUGGUGUAGCGGUGAAAUGCGUAGAUAUCAGGAGGAACACCGGUGGCGAAGGCGGCUUCCUGGACCUAUACUGACGCUGAGGUGCGAAGGCGUGGGGAGCAAACAGG
rnacentral:rRNA from 1 species